UUUUUUAAGUCUCCGUAAGCGUGAAGAAGGAUAUUUUGAAGAUAAUUUUGCCCAAAAGGCUUGGUAAUAAUACAAAUCUUAACGUAUGAACUGGUGAUGAAAAAAUGUUACAACACUUCCGAGUUAAUUUUAUCUUCUUUCCUUUUUUUGUUUAAUCACCUUUUAUUUGCGAGGGAAAGCGUUGUUAAGGAAAUAUCGUGCUUAAGGAAGGCAGUUAAAAUAUCAGAAGCUUUCGUCUCCAAACUCAGAUAAACAUGUGGACAAGAAGGAUUUCUGUGUAAAAUGGCAAAGAUGCGGAUCAACAAGUGUGUGCUGAUGGGUCUGGUGCUGCUUAACGCCUAUUUACCAGUAUCUGGAACAACAACAACAAAUGCGAGCAACGACCAAACAUCAGAUUCUAUGACAACGUCUCAAACAACCUCACAAAUCAUGAUAGCAACCACAACAAAAUCAAAUACUACGAUGCCCACCAGAACUAUAACACCUACUUAUACUACGAUGCUUACCACAACAACGACACCUACUUAUACUACGGUGACUACCAGAAGAACGACACCUACUUAUACUACGAUGUCAACCACAACAACCACACCAACUAAUACUACGAUGUCUACCACAACUACGGCACCUAUCGCUACUACACCUACGACAUCUACAUCCACGACAACAUCACCAACAUCUACAACUAAGUCACCUACCAUAACUACCACACCUACGACAAUGACAGGUGUCACGACUACACCUACGACAAAUACACUUACGGUAAUUACAUUUACGAAAACCACACUUACGACAACUUCACCCACGACAACUACAACUACAAAUACUACAACUACCAAAAAUACACCUACAAGUACGACAACACCUACAACAACCACGACAACUACGACAACUACAUCUACCACGGCUACACCCACGACUAAUUCACCUACGGCAACUACACCUACGAAAACUACAAAUUCAAAGGCUGCACCUACGACAAAUCAUCAACGACACCUACCUCAACAACGACACUUAUCACAACUACGACACCUACCACAACUCUGACACCCAUCACCAUUUCGACACCAAUAAGAAAAAACACACAUAUUGUAACUACGACACAAUAUACCAAUACGACAAUUGCAAAUUCGAUACCAACUACGAAACCUACCACAACUACAAUAUCUACCACAGUUUUGACACCCACCACAAUUAUGAAAUCUACCACAACCACGAAACCUACCACAAUUAUGACACCCACCACAAAUACAAAACCUAUAACAACUACAAUAUAUACCACAACUAUGACACCCAUCACAAUUACAAAACCUACCACAACUACGAAACCUACCACAACUAUGACACCCACCACAAUUACAAAACAUACCGCAACUACAAUAUAUACCAAAAUUUUGACACCCACCACACUUACAAAAGCUACCACAACUACGAAACCUACCAAAAUUAUGACACAUAUAGCAACAAUUACCACUCUAAAAAUGGAUUAUUUGCAAAAUACCACAGGUACCACAAUCGUGCAAAACAAUAAUGGAGUUGCAAUGUCCGAGUUGUGUUUUUCCGCCUUGAUGGUUGCAACGACUACAAUAAUUCACUUUAUAUUGUGAGGCUUUCUUUCACACAAAAGUGGAUAGCAUUGCAUCUCAAAUUAUUUCAGACGUAUGAAGGAUAUCUUUGAAAAAAUAACAUCAGUUUAUAACAGGUUGAGUACGCGUUGUGAGUAAAACGAAAACUUGAAUUGGCAUUCAACAUGUAUACAUUUUUAUUAACGUGUGAACGUGUAUAUACAUAUUCUGUUCACAUAUUGUGUAUAUUCAACACGUGUAUGAUGGUUGUAUAAGGAAAAUAUGUAUUUUGCUUUUCUCUACAAAAAUAUGUUACAUUUAGAAGUUUGUUUUUCAUGAAAUACAGAUACAACAUGAUUGCAUCAUUAGUUCUAUUGUAUGUUCGACAACUGAAUGGUACAUAAAACAUACAAAUGAAGGGUUAUUGUUGACAUUUAUUUGAACCAAUAUUCGUUGUUGUAUUAAUUUUACCCUCUCUGUGUCGUAUAAUUCUGUAUGUUUCAGAAUCGUCAUAAGCAUUUGUAUGUAUUAUUUUUUUUAUUGCUGACACACAUCAAAAUAGGUACAUUUACCAUAUACUUUAAUAUUGUAACGACAAUUUGUUUCUGUUAACGGGUAUAAUAUGUUUAAAAAAUUGUUCUCAUUCAGAUGAUUUAAGUUCAUUUUUGCUGCUAUCUUGAUAUUUUGUAUUACUAUUUGACAAUGCAUAUCCAAAGAUAACAUAACUAAAGUUGCACAAUAAAUAUAUAU